UACGUAGGGUGCGAGCGUUGUCUGGAAUUAUUGGGCGUAAAGGGCUCGUAGGCGGUUUGUCACGUCGGGAGUGAAAACUCAGGGCUUAACCCUGAGCCUGCUUCCGAUACGGGCAGACUAGAGGUAUGCAGGGGAGAAUGGAAUUCCUGGUGUAGCGGUGAAAUGCGCAGAUAUCAGGAGGAACACCGGUGGCGAAGGCGGGUCUCUGGGCCGUAACUGACGCUGAGGAGCGAAAGCAUGGGGAGCGAACAGG
rnacentral:rRNA from 1 species